rnacentral:rRNA from 1 species
AUGGCGAAGAAGAGGAAGCGCAGCUCCGAUGCUCCCGCCUCUGCUGCCGUAGAGAAGCCUGAUGACUCUGCCCCCGAGCGGCCGGAACGCACCCUCUUUGGGUUCAAGGACUCGGCCGCCGAGCCUGCUUCUAAGGACGCUGGGCCGCUCUUCCGGAACAAGGAGAAGGUGCUCAUUACGUGCUCCCGCCGCAUCAUUUACAGGUACCGGCAUCUGAUGCAGAACGUGGUGUCGCUGCUGCCGCACGCCAAGAAGGACAGCAAGGUUGAGUCCAAGCAGAGCAAGGGCAGCGCGCUCAACGAGCUGGUCGAGCUCAGGAGCUGCUCCAGCUGCCUCUUUUUCGAGUGCAGAAAACAGAAAGAUCUUUACCUUUGGAUGGUCAAGUCCCCUGCAGGGCCAUCAGUGAAAUUUCUAGUCAAUGCUGUUCACACCAUGGAGGAACUGAGGCUCACCGGCAACCAUCUGAAAGGGUCACGUCCUCUGCUAACAUUUUCUUCAAAUUUUGACCAGCAACCUCAUUGGAAGCUCUUGAAGGAAAUGAUAACACAAAUUUUUGCUACUCCAAAAGAUCAUAGGAAGGCAAAACCUUUUCAUGAUCAUGUUUUUGUGUUCUCCAUUGUGGAUGACCACAUUUGGUUCAGAAAUUACCAGAUAUCUGUACCCCACAAUGAGAUUGACAAAGUUGAUAAAGGAGGCCUAGAUAAAAUGACACUUGUUGAGGUUGGCCCCAGGUUCUGUUUGAAUCCAAUAAAAAUAUUUGGUGGUAGUUUUGGUGGCCCCACAUUGUUCGAGAACCCAUUCUAUGUGUCUCCCAAUCAGAUCCGCGCACUGGAGAAACGGAAGAAGGCAGGCAAGUACGCCAAGAAGGUGAAGGCCAAGGUGAGGAGGAAGAUGCACGAGAUGGAGAACACCCUCGAGCCCGACGAGUUUGCUGAUCUUUGGAAAGGGGAAGACUAG